rnacentral:misc_RNA from 1 species
CAACCCUCAAGCUCCGGCUUGGUGUUGGGCUCGCCCUGUAGGGCUUGCCUCAAAGUCAGUGGCGGCUACAGCCCGACCUCCAGCGCAGUAAUGCUCGUCGCUGUGAGGAGAGGCUUCCGGCGCCAUCACAACCCCCACCACACAA